rnacentral:rRNA from 1 species
AUGGCGGCAUCGGUGACCUGCGCCUUCUUCUUCGACGCCGAGCUGCUCGCCGAGCCCGGCAUGCCGGCGAUGGACGCGUGCGCGCUCUGCGCCAAGCCGCUGGCGCGCGACAGCGACGUCUUCAUGUACAGAGGGGACACGCCCUUCUGCAGCGAGGAGUGCCGGCACGAGCAGAUGCACCUCGACGCCGUGGGCGCCAGGCAGGCCGCCCGGCGGCUGCAGAGGUUCACGGCGGAGGCGGAGUGCCACCGUGGGCAGAGGCACUCCAGGAAGGUGUCCAUCGCGAGCUAG